rnacentral:rRNA from 1 species
CCCUUAGAUGUUCUUGGCCGCACGCGUGCUACACUGAGUGGAUCAGCGGGUCAGGUUGCGCGAAAGCGUUUCCUAAUCUUUAAAUCCGCUCGUGAUGGGGAUUGACGGUUGCAAUUUUCUGUCAUGAACGAGGAAUACCUUGUAAGCGCGGGUCAUCAUCCCGCGCUGAAUACGUCCCUGCCCUUUGUACACACCGCCCGUCGCUCCUACCGAUUGAGUGGUCCGGUGAGGCUUUGGGAUCUGAGCGGAAAGAGCGUUUCGCUGUUUCUGCUCGGAAAACUCAGUCGAACCUUAUCAUUUAGAGGAAGGAGAAGUCGUAACA